AGCAGCCGCGGUAAUUCCAGCUCCAAUAGCGUAUAUUAAAGUUGUUGCAGUUAAAAAGCUCGUAGUUGAAUUUCGGGAUCAAGUCGUUGGUCGUGCCUCGGUACGCACUGGUGACAUUGGUUUCUCCCUUCUGAAGAACCUUGAUGUCAUUAAUUUGGUGUCUUGGGGAAUCAGGACUGUUACUUUGAAAAAAUUAGAGUGUUUAAGGCAAGCUCACGCUUGAAUACAUUAGCAUGGAAUAAUGAAAUAGGACGUUUGAUUCUAUUUUGUUGGUUUCUAGGAUCGACGUAAUGAUUAAUAGGGAUAGUUGGGGGCAUUAGUAUUCAAUUGUCAGAGGUGAAAUUCUUGGAUUUAUUGAAGACUAACUACUAGCGAAAGCAUUUGCCAAGGAUGUUUUCAUUAAUCAAGAACGAAAGUUAGGGGAUCGAAGACGAUCAGAUACCGUCGUAGUCGUUAACCAUAAACUAUGCCGACUAGGGAUCGGAUGAUGUUAAUUUUUAAUGACUCAUUCGGCGCCUUA
rnacentral:rRNA from 1 species